ACCUGGUGGCGAGUGGCGAACGGGUGAGUAAUACAUCGGAACAUGUCCUGUAGUGGGGGAUAGCCCGGCGAAAGCCGGAUUAAUACCGCAUACGAUCUAUGGAUGAAAGCGGGGGACCUUCGGGCCUCGCGCUAUAGGGUUGGCCGAUGGCUGAUUAGCUAGUUGGUGGGGUAAAGGCCUACCAAGGCGACGAUCAGUAGCUGGUCUGAGAGGACGACCAGCCACACUGGGACUGAGACACGGCCCAGACUCCUACGGGAGGCAGCAGUGGGGAAUUUUGGACAAUGGGCGAAAGCCUGAUCCAGCAAUGCCGCGUGUGUGAAGAAGGCCUUCGGGUUGUAAAGCACUUUUGUCCGGAAAGAAAUCCUUGGUUCUAAUAUAGCCGGGGGAUGACGGUACCGGAAGAAUAAGCACCGGCUAACUACGUGCCAGCAGCCGCGGUAAUACGUAGGGUGCGAGCGUUAAUCGGAAUUACUGGGCGUAAAGCGUGCGCAGGCGGUUUGCUAAGACCGAUGUGAAAUCCCCGGGCUCAACCUGGGAACUGCAUUGGUGACUGGCAGGCUAGAGUAUGGCAGAGGGGGGUAGAAUUCCACGUGUAGCAGUGAAAUGCGUAGAGAUGUGGAGGAAUACCGAUGGCGAAGGCAGCCCCCUGGGCCAAUACUGACGCUCAUGCACGAAAGCGUGGGGAGCAAACAGG
rnacentral:rRNA from 1 species